GACGAACGCUGGCGGCGUGCUUAACACAUGCAAGUCGAACGGUGAAGCGCCUUCCUUUUUGGUUGGUGUGGAUGAGUGGCGAACGGGUGAGUAACACGUGAGUAACCUGCCCCCUUCUUCUGGAUAACCGCAUGAAAGUGUGGCUAAUACGGGAUAUUCUGGGUCUGUCGCAUGAUGGGUCUGGGAAAGAUAUUGUUUCGGUGGGGGAUGGGCUCGCGGCCUAUCAGCUUGUUGGUGGGGUGAUGGCCUACCAAGGCGGUGACGGGUAGCCGGCUUGAGAGGGUGGACGGCCAGACUGGGACUGAGACACGGCCCAGACUCCUACGGGAGGCAGCAGUGGGGAAUAGUGAACAAUGGGGGAAAGCCUGAUGCAGCGACGCCGCGUGAGGGAUGGAGGCCUUCGGGUUGUGAACCUCUUUCGCCAGUGAAGCAGGCCUGCCUCGUUUGUGGGUGGGUUGACGGUAGCUGGAUAAGAAGCGCCGGCUAACUACGUG
rnacentral:rRNA from 1 species